rnacentral:snRNA from 8 species
AUCGCUUCUCGGCCUUUUGGCUCAGAUCAAGUGUAGUAUCUGUUCUUAUCAGUUUAAUAUCUGAUACAUCCCCCAUCGGGGGACUACAUAUUAAAUGGAUUUUUCGAACAGGGAGUCGGAAAUGGGGCUUGCUCCGUCCGCUCCACGCAUCGACCCGGUAUUGCAGUACCUCCGGGAAUGGUGCAACACUU